rnacentral:rRNA from 1 species
UACGGGGGGGGCAAGCGUUGUUCGGAAUUACUGGGCGUAAAGGGUUCGUAGGUGGCCCGCUAAGUCAGACGUGAAAUCCCUCAGCUCAACUGGGGAACUGCGUCUGAGACUGGCAGGCUCGAGUGCAGGAGAGGAACGCGGAAUUCCAGGUGUAGCGGUGAAAUGCUUAGAGAUCGUCCAGAACACCGAUAGCGAAGGCAGCUUACUAAGGAGUAACUGACGCUGAGGCACGAAAGUGUGGGGAUCAAACAGG